rnacentral:lncRNA from 1 species
CAAAUUUUAUGUCAUCCUCUCCUGAUAAUGACAGAAGCCAAUGCUCAUAUAGGGCCCACUUUGUGUCAGGCACGGUUUUGAAUGCCUGCUAUUUAUUGACUUAUUUGAUUCUCUAAUGCCCCAUUGAGGGCAUCGUUAACACCAUUCUCUAAAUGGAAAAAAAUUGGAGGCACAGAGGGUAAAUGUUUAGUCAUAAAGCACUCAGGUAGGUAGCUGAAUUGAACCCAGGCUUCUUGGUCCUAGCUGACCUUGCACUUAACCGCUGUGCGUACUCCCUAUCACUUAGAAGUUCAGACCUGUCCCUUCUUCUGAAACUUACCUUUAUUUAACUCUAUCACAACUUACCCAGAUGUUCCAGGAUAAAUGCAUCAGAUAGAAAAGAAGUUGGGCCGAGGAUUAAGUGUGAAGGAGGAUUCUGGCAGUUGGGCUGAACAAAGACAUAAGACAUGUUUAAUCCUCAGCAGGAUGCUUGGCAUAUAAUGGCUUUCUCCAUGCCAUGGGGGUCAUGGCUCCUAGCAACCUUGAUCUCUUCUCAUCUAAGCAGCUCUUCCAUCAGCAAAGAAAGAAGGUUUCUUCCUUUUUGGCUCCAAUCUGAAAAAAAUUUCAAGCAUAAUUUGCAUGGGACCAACUUAAGUCACAUACUUCUCCUCAAACCAGUUACAACCAGGAAGAUGAGGUAAUAUGAUUGGUUGAAUUGAAUUUCUAAUGAAAUGAAAUUCCAGUUCAUUCGAAUUUGAUUCCUGUGGAAAGAGAUGCAUCAAGCAUGCCGAGAGAGUAACCUUUACCUUCUGUAAGAGGUAAUAGAAUAAUUAGUAUUUUAGUGGUAGAGUUGGUUCUACAAACUGGCAUAAAGUCAAAACACUGACUCUCUACUAAGUCACUAGAACCAAAAUGCUAGAAUCUCUGGAUGUCUGGCUAAGAUACCACAGGGCCUGAGUGGACAUGUCACAUGAACUUUGUAUCCAAGG